UGGCGGACGGGUGAGUAACACGUGGGUAACCUGCCCAGAAGCAGGGGAUAACACCUGGAAACAGAUGCUAAUACCGUAUAACAGAGAAAACCGCCUGGUUUUCUUUUAAAAGAUGGCUCUGCUAUCACUUCUGGAUGGACCCGCGGCGCAUUAGCUAGUUGGUGAGGUAACGGCUCACCAAGGCGAUGAUGCGUAGCCGACCUGAGAGGGUAAUCGGCCACAUUGGGACUGAGACACGGCCCAGACUCCUACGGGAGGCAGCAGUAGGGAAUCUUCCACAAUGGACGCAAGUCUGAUGGAGCAACGCCGCGUGAGUGAAGAAGGGUUUCGGCUCGUAAAGCUCUGUUGUUAAAGAAGAACGUGGGUGAGAGUAACUGUUCACCCAGUGACGGUAUUUAACCAGAAAGCCACGGCUAACUACGUGCCAGCAGCCGCGGUAAUACGUAGGUGGCAAGCGUUAUCCGGAUUUAUUGGGCGUAAAGCGAGCGCAGGCGGUCUUUUAAGUCUAAUGUGAAAGCCUUCGGCUCAACCGAAGAAGUGCAUUGGAAACUGGGAGACUUGAGUGCAGAAGAGGACAGUGGAACUCCAUGUGUAGCGGUGAAAUGCGUAGAUAUAUGGAAGAACACCAGUGGCGAAGGCGGCUGUCUGGUCUGUAACUGACGCUGAGGCUCGAAAGCAUGGGUAGCGAACAGGAUUAGAUACCCUGGUAGUCCAUGCCGUAAACGAUGAUUACUAAGUGUUGGAGGGUUUCCGCCCUUCAGUGCUGCAGCUAACGCAUUAAGUAAUCCGCCUGGGGAGUACGACCGCAAGGUUGAAACUCAAAAGAAUUGACGGGGGCCCGCACAAGCGGUGGAGCAUGUGGUUUAAUUCGAAGCUACGCGAAGAACCUUACCAGGUCUUGACAUCUUCUGCCAACCUAAGAGAUUAGGCGUUCCCUUCGGGGACAGAAUGACAGGUGGUGCAUGGUUGUCGUCAGCUCGUGUCGUGAGAUGUUGGGUUAAGUCCCGCAACGAGCGCAACCCUUAUUACUAGUUGCCAGCAUUCAGUUGGGCACUCUAGUGAGACUGCCGGUGACAAACCGGAGGAAGGUGGGGACGACGUCAAAUCAUCAUGCCCCUUAUGACCUGGGCUACACACGUGCUACAAUGGAUGGUACAACGAGUYGCGAAACCGCGAGGUUUAGCUAAUCUCUUAAAACCAUUCUCAGUUCGGACUGUAGGCUGCAACUCGCCUACACGAAGUCGGAAUCGCUAGUAAUCGCGGAUCAGCAUGCCGCGGUGAAUACGUUCCCGGGCCUUGUACACACCGCCCGUCACACCAUGAGAGUUUGUAACACCCAAAGCCGGUGGGGUAACCUUUUAGGAGCUAGCC
rnacentral:rRNA from 1 species